UCCGUUAUGGUGUAGUGGCUAACAUUAUCGCCUCUCAUGAUUGAAUGAUCUGGUCGAGCGCGAUAGCCCAGGGUUCGAUUCCCUGUAACGGAA